rnacentral:rRNA from 1 species
UGCGUAGGCGGUCUUGAAAGUUAGGUGUGAAAUCCCACAGCUCAACUGUGGAACUGCGCUUAAAACUAUAAGGCUAGAGGGAUAUAGGGGUGAGCGGAACUGAUGGUGGAGCGGUGAAAUGCGUUGAUAUCAUCAGGAACACCGGAGGCGAAGGCGGCUCACUGGGUAUCUUCUGACGCUGAGGUACGAAAGCUAGGGGAGCGAACAGGAUUAGAUACCCUGGUAGUCC